UAGCUUUCUCUCUCCUCUCGCCUACCACCGCCGUCGCUCGCCCGAUCCAAAGAUGAACAACUUCGAUCACCGUUACAGUGAUCCCACCUCCUUCCGCGAUCGGAGAAGCGAUCUGAUGCCUCCGCCGCACAUGCCACACUUCCCGCCGAGCGGCGGCGCAGCCGCCGGAUUCGGCCGCAGCGGAGCUGCUCCCUUCGGUGGGACGGGGCUCGCGCCGGCUUUCCCUCCGCCUAGUAUUGCCGCUCCUUUUUCUUCCGUCGGAGACAGCUCCGGUAGGGGAUCUAGUGGCCGAGGAUCCGAUUCUGGAAGGGGCCGUGGCGGCGGGAGAGGUUUUGAUACCGGCCGUAGCGGCGGGACAAGUUUUGAUACCGGCCGUAACGGCGGG
rnacentral:misc_RNA from 1 species